GCCGGGGUGGCUUAGCUUGGUCAUAGCGCCGGACUCAUAUUCCGGAGGUCGCGGGCUCGAAUCCCGCCCCCGGCA
rnacentral:tRNA from 1 species